GAUGAACGCUGGCGGCGUGCCUAAUACAUGCAAGUCGAGCGAACAGACGAGGAGCUUGCUCCUCUGACGUUAGCGGCGGACGGGUGAGUGACACGUGGAUAACCUACCUAUAAGACUGGGAUAACUUCGGGAAACCGGAGCUAAUACCGGAUAAUAUAUUGAACCGCAUGGUUCAAUAGUGAAAGACGGUUUUGCUGUCACUUAUAGAUGGAUCCGCGCCGCAUUAGCUAGUUGGUAAGGUAACAGCUUACCAAGGCAACGAUGCGUAGCCGACCUGAGAGGGUGAUCGGCCACACUGGAACUGAGACACGGUCCAGACUCCUACGGGAGGCAGCAGUAGGGAAUCUUCCGCAAUGGGCGAAAGCCUGACGGAGCAACGCCGCGUGAGUGAUGAAGGUCUUCGGAUCGUAAAACUCUGUUAUUAGGGAAGAACAAAUGUGUAAGUAACUAUGCACGUCUUGACGGUACCUAAUCAGAAAGCCACGGCUAACUACGUG
rnacentral:rRNA from 1 species